rnacentral:rRNA from 1 species
UAGAGUUUGAUCUGGCUCAGAACGAACGCUGGCGGCAUGCCUAACACAUGCAAGUCGAACGAGACCUUCGGGUCUAGUGGCGCACGGGUGCGUAACGCGUGGGAACCUGCCUUUAGGUUCGGAAUAACAGUGAGAAAUUACUGCUAAUACCGGAUAAUGUCUUCGGACCAAAGAUUUAUCGCCUUUAGAUGGGCCCGCGUUGGAUUAGCUAGUUGGUGGGGUAAAGGCCUACCAAGGCGACGAUCCAUAGCUGGUCUGAGAGGAUGAUCAGCCACACUGGGACUGAGACACGGCCCAGACUCCUACGGGAGGCAGCAGUGGGGAAUAUUGGACAAUGGGCGAAAGCCUGAUCCAGCAAUGCCGCGUGAGUGAUGAAGGCCUUAGGGUUGUAAAGCUCUUUUAUCAGGGAAGAAUCAAUGACGUGACCUGAAGA